AAAAAAAAAAGAGCUAGCUGGUUUUCAUCUGUUACGUUGCUGAUAUCAGGAUCUAGAGUUAAAGCUAAUUCUAAAUUUAAUCAGUUAAGUUUAUUAAAUUGCAAAAAUAUUUGCAGUUGUACAAGUAACAGGUGCAUACUUGGGAUUGUCUCAACUGUGGUGUCCUUUGCCCGCUCUCCUAACCACGUAAAUGACAUGAAAGUAAUUGUAAUAACCUAAGUAGGUUGAUACUCUAAUAUUUACUGUAGCUGAAGAAAUCUAUUUGUUUGAUGAAUUUAUUAUCACUACAUUUUUUUCACUUCAAUUCAAUCUUGUUUAAAUGGAUAAAUUACGGUCUGCCUUUAAUGUUGCUUUUGCAUUGUGAAUGAUCAAAUUACUGUUGUUUUGCAGGUUGCUG
rnacentral:misc_RNA from 1 species